rnacentral:lncRNA from 10 species
CUUCCUUCAGCUCUCUGGUUGGGUGACUUUUCUGCUGGGAAGGCUUCCCUGACCCUCUUCUUGCCUCCCAAGUUUAGGAAAUUUGUAACCUCCCACAUAUUCAUGCACAUCACCUACCAUCACAUUUAUCUCAUUUCACUAUAAUUGCAUGUUUGCUUAUUUUUAUACAGUUGCAGUGUCAACUCUGGAAAGGCAUAAUCUGUAACUACUUUGUUGAUCAUUGCAACUGCAUGUAGAAGCCACUCCUUAUAUAAGUAUUGAGUAAUUACAUUGCUCAGAAUUCUCCCUCCAACUCCUCUCACCCUUGCCAGCCCUGUUCUCAAAUAAAAUGCAGCAACAUCCUUUGUAAAAGCAAUUCUCAAAACUAAACUGGCCUUGUAUACAGUUAAGAGUCCUCUGUUAUUUAUUUUUUUUCCUUUUUAUACUACCUGGAUGUGUCUUAGCCUCUCCACCCUUUCCCCGCAUUGAGCAAGUUGACUGCUAUAAACAAGAUGUUUCUGUUUUAUAUUCCGGAAUGCACAACAACUGAAGCAAAGGCAAGGUGACUUUGCUGUAACUCAGCAGUCUUUUUAAAAUGUUAUUUUCCCCCCUUCGUAGGUCCUCAGAACACUGCCAUUAAGGGCUUCGAGGUGAAGAUACAUUAGAUUAAAAAUAUGGCAGACAGGGACCCUGAAGCACUUUAAGAAAGCUUGGUCUGCAGGAAAUCCUCAUCUUGGCUCCAAUCAUCAGAAAACUUGAUCUUUACCAGAGAUACAUCAUAAAUCAGAAGGCAAUGGAAUGACCAUUUUAAAGGAUCAAAGAGAAAAAAGCCACAUAGAAAUCUCAACCUAUGGGCCAUAGCCUUUAAAAAUACAGUAAAACAAAGACUUCAUAUAAACUAAAGGGAAUGACUUCCUUACCUACCUUCUGUGCCAGUCACCCAGUCACGUUUUCUUCUUUGGUGUUUUGCUACAACUAUGUUCCAAUGGUGUGGGCUUCCUGCAUUCACUCUCUUGGAACAAGAAAGGUGAGAAGUUGCUGUUGAAGCCACACUGCUGAUGAGGACUCAGGCAGGUGUCCCGAGAAAUCGCCCAGUCGUGAGAGGAACCAUAAGAACUUUGUAAGGUAAAUACUUUUCUUAACUUUUUAAAAUCUGGGCAAGACACAAGGUCAAUGUUUAAAAUAAUUACUGUUGGAUUUUCUUUAUAAGAAGAAUAACGCUAAUUCACAUUUUUAGCCCGAUUUCUUUAAUUCAUAUUUGGCGAUAGAGCUAUUACCAUUUAUUAGAUUUUGUAUCACAUUCUGUAUAACAUACACAAAAUGCGUAUACAUGUACAUAUAUACGAAUCUACACACGUUUACCACUAAAUACUGAAAAGCGUUAUCGAAAGUCUUUAUCUGCCUAGAUUGCCAAGUAGAAAGUGUGACCACUUUUUGAAAAAUAUGAAUACACUGAAUCAUUGAAAUAUCUUGGUGUCCCAGAGAGUAGAACCAGGAUAGUCUAAAGCGUGCAAAUAUUAAAUUGUGUGAAGCAUUUUGGUUCUAAAUUUCAGUUAAGAGAGAGGCUAUUUCACAGUUGGCCUACUUCCUACAGGAAACCACAGUGAUGUUUUAUUAAGUAAUGGAAUAUAGUUUGUCUCUUCAUUUACCUGUAAGAAAUGUGGCAGGGAGAGACUUGAAACUAGGACUUAAAGAGUGACAAGUACCAGGCAUGAGAAACACAGCUCCCUUAAAGAAAAAGUAAACAUUCCAGGAGGCAAUCCUUUUGGAAAAUGAGCCAAUCAGAGCUGGUCCUGCUAAAUGGAGAGGCUAGAGAGUAGGUGCCCCUGACUUCUCAACUUCAUAUUAAAAUAUUCUGCCGUUCACCUUUCUUGAACUCAAUUCCCUAACAAGCAAGCUGACAUUAAAUCUUCAUUCUUUAGAAAUUUUAAUAUUUGGAAAGUGUAUGAAGUAGGUCAUCUAAAAAUGUAAAAAGCAAUCCUCAAGUUAUGGCACUCUGUCGCAUUUUGGUUUGGAUAGAAUUCUAUUCUGUUUAAUGAGUUGUUUGAUGAUCUCCCUGAAACUGAGCAUACUUGAGUUCUGAGAUACCACACAGAAAUAUGACUGCAAAAGCAAAAGAUGAUCUUCAAGUAGAUCAACUUUUGAAAGUGUAUCAAUCACUGGCAUUAAAUUGUUUGUCUCAUUCUUGAGGAAGAGAAGGGACUGGAUUUUUAUAAGGUUUAUUUUUAGCUUCUUGGCUAACUAUAACACACCUGAAAAUAAAGGCAUGUUUAUGACAUCUUACCGUGUUGUGUCUGCUGUCUGAAACACUCAUUCAGGAAUGAAUUGGGAUACUGAUGCACUAAAAAAGGCUCAGGAUGGGGUUUGGAUAAGUGCUGCUCCUUUGAAAGAGUCCAGACUUUGUAAGAAAG